rnacentral:rRNA from 1 species
UACGUAGGGUCCGAGCGUUGUCCGGAAUUAUUGGGCGUAAAGGGCUCGUAGGCGGUUUGUCGCGUCGGGAGUGAAAACUCAGGGCUCAACCCCUGAGCGUGCUUCCGAUACGGGCAGACUAGAGGUAUGCAGGGGAGAACGGAAUUCCUGGUGUAGCGGUGGAAUGCGCAGAUAUCAGGAAGAACACCCGUGGCUAAGGCGGCUCUCUAGUACGGUACUGACGCUGAGACGCGAAAGCGUGGGAGCGAACAGG